GCCGGAAUAGCUCAGCUGGGAGAGCGUUACACUGAAGAUCUAAAGGUCCCUGGUUCAACCCCGGGUUUCGGCA
rfam:TPA: Bos taurus chromosome 23, whole genome shotgun sequence.